CCUACGGGAGGCAGCAGUAGGGAAUAUUGGUCAAUGGGCGGAAGCCUGAACCAGCCAUGCCGCGUGCAGGAAGAAGGCCUUCUGGGUUGUAAACUGCUUUUGACAGGGAAGAAAAAGCGUCUGCGGACGAAAUUGACGGUACCUGUAGAAUAAGCCACGGCUAACUACGUGCCAGCAGCCGCGGUAAUACGUAGGUGGCAAGCGUUAUCCGGAUUUAUUGGGUUUAAAGGGUGCGUAGGCGGUUAAAUAAGUCAGUGGUGAAAGUCUAUGGCUCAACUAUAGGACUGCCAUUGAUACUGUUUAGCUAGAGUACAGCAGAGGUAGGCGGAAUGGACAGUGUAGCGGUGAAAUGCAUAGAUAUUGUCCAGAACACCGAUAGCGAAGGCAGCUUACUGGAGUGUAACUGACGCUGAGGCACGAAAGUAUGGGGAUCAAACAGGAUUAGAUACCCUGGUAGUCCAUACAGUAAACGAUGAUCACUCGCUGUCGGCGAUAUACAGCCGGUGGCCAAGGGAAACCGAUAAGUGAUCCACCGNGGUAAGGUACGACCGCGAGUAGUUAACGUUACGAAGAAGUUAGNGGCGNGAGAGNGCGACGGACGACGACGAGGGAGGAGG
rnacentral:rRNA from 1 species